ACGUGAAGCAGAUGGAAAGAGAA
rnacentral:misc_RNA from 1 species